rnacentral:rRNA from 1 species
CAGCCUGAUGCAGCCAUGCCGCGUGUGUGAAGAAGGCCUUCGGGUUGUAAAGCACUUUCAGUCGUGAGGAAGGUUUAUGCGUUAAUAGCGUAUAGAUUUGACGUUAGCGACAGAAGAAGCACCGGCUAACUCCGUGCCAGCAGCCGCGGUAAUACGGAGGGUGCGAGCGUUAAUCGGAAUUACUGGGCGUAAAGCGCAUGCAGGUGGUUUGUUAAGUCAGAUGUGAAAGCCCGGGGCUCAACCUCGGAAUAGCAUUUGAAACUGGCAGACUAGAGUACUGUAGAGGGGGGUAGAAUUUCAGGUGUAGCGGUGAAAUGCGUAGAGAUCUGAAGGAAUACCGGUGGCGAAGGCGGCCCCCUGGACAGAUACUGACACUCAGAUGCGAAAGCGUGGGGAGCAAACAGGAUUAGAUACCCUGGUAGUCCACGCCGUAAACGAUGUCUACUUGGAGGUUGUGGCCUUGAGCCGUGGCUUUCGGAGCUAACGCGUUAAGUAGACCGCCUGGGGAGUACGGUCGCAAGAUUAAAACUCAAAUGAAUUGACGGGGGCCCGCACAAGCGGUGGAGCAUGUGGUUUAAUUCGAUGCAACGCGAAGAACCUUACCUACUCUUGACAUCCAGAGAAUUUUCCAGAGAUGGAUUAGUGCCUUCGGGAACUCUGAGACAGGUGCUGCAUGGCUGUCGUCAGCUCGUGUUGUGAAAUGUUGGGUUAAGUCCCGCAACGAGCGCAACCCUUAUCCUUGUUUGCCAGCGAGUAAUGUCGGGAACUCCAGGGAGACUGCCGGUGAUAAACCGGAGGAAGGUGGGGACGACCUC